rnacentral:rRNA from 1 species
GGGUGCGAUCAUACUAGCAUUAAGGCACUAGAUCCCAUCAAAACUCUGUAGUUAAGCACACUUGGGCUAGAGUAGUACUGGGAUGGGUGACCUCUCAGGAAGUCCUAGUGUUGCACCCU